CGUAGGGCGCAAGCGUUAUCCGGAAUUAUUGGGCGUAAAGAGCUUGUAGGUGGCUUGUCGCGUCUGCCGUGAAACCCGAAGGCUCAACCUCGGGCGGUGCGGUGGGUACGGGCAGGCUAGAGUGUGGUAGGGGAGACUGGAACUCCUGGUGUAGCGGUGAAAUGCGCAGAUAUCAGGAAGAACACCGAUGGCGAAGGCAGGUCUCUGGGCCAUUACUGACACUGAGAAGCGAAAGCAUGGGUAGCGAACAGGAUU
rnacentral:rRNA from 1 species